AUCUUUGGGCUGUAGGCUCCUCCCUCCGUUCUGAUAGUGGAGACGGAGACGCAGAGAUGUUGAGCCAUGGCGUUGAGGAGCUGCAAGGGAGCUUGCAGAGGGCGACUGCCUGGGUGUAGGGCGGCCAGAGCUGGGGAGGGUCUGGCCCAGGAGACAAGGCAGUGGGGAUGGAGGCCCAGGCAGGACCAGUACUGUGGGGACUUUGGGAAGAAAGUGUGCUUGGCAGCCCCCCAUGACGCGUGGGGCGAGUCUGGAGCUGCAGGACGGUGAAGGGGUGAGGGCACCCCUGGGACACCCUCCUGCCCUUUCUAGGGGCCUCCAGCCUUCCUGGCCCCCUUGAGAGGAAGCUCUCACUCUGCUUUACUAGGGAAACUGAGGCAGGAGUGUGGAGGUGCUUCAUCCAAGUCAGCCUAAUGGAGGUGCACCCAGACCUCUCCCCCUACCUGCACCCAAGUAGGGCCCCAAGACACCUGGUCUCCGGGCAGCCUCCCCUGAGGAGACCUUGGUCGGCUCAGGAGGCCCCCUGCACCGUGAGACCCACAGACCGGGGCUCCAGCUCUGUGACCAGGUGCCUCACUGUGCCGCCCUGAGUCCCGGCCCCUCCCUGGCAGAGCGGGGGUUGCUGUGCCCCUCCCUCACCGGGCCUUUCUGGGGAUCAAAGUGCUUGCUGCGGGCAUCGCACAGCAGGUGCUCAACCGAAGGCAGAAGGUGCUGCUGUGGGGACGCGGCCUCCGGGAGGAGCCAGACGUGCCGAGAUGUGAGCCACUAAAUUAUCGACCUCGUCCUCGUACCCCAUGUGGCUCCGCACCCUUGGUGGCCUGAUGAGAUUCAGUGGACUCUUUGUGGGCCUCUUCUUCCGGCCCCUGUUGGCCACUCCCUUCUUCUUGCGUUGGCUCACUACAGCUGCUGUUAACCUACCCCUCGAUCCCCCGCUCCGCCACCAUAUACCACCCCCAAAGCCAGCUUGGGGUCCGCGCUAACCCCCUGUGCAGACGACGCCCCCAUCUUCAUCCAGACCUCCGUCCUGAGCCAGGGCACUGCCCGCCUAAACCUCCCCGACAUCUCCCCUGGGUUAAGAACGAGGUUAGAGCGUGGACCCACGACCCCGCCAUCCUUGCAGAAUUGGACUCCAGCUCUGACCUGCCCUUCUGGCCUUGUUUCGGAUCCCUCUAUGCGCUCCAAACUCUAGCCAAACCCAGCUGCUCCGUCCCUGCUACUUUCCCAUCUCAGUGCCUUUGAACGUGAUGUCCACUCAACCUGGGAUACUCUCGCCACCCUCCUAGCUAGCCAGUGUCUGCUCACUCCAGCACCCUCUCCUUCAGGAAGCCUCCCCUGACCUCCCAGGCUGGGUGUGCUGCCUCCUCUGUGCUGACUGUAGCUCCUUGUGAUUAACUGAAGAGGAGAGGCAGGUGGAGACACAGAGCACAGAGAAGAAAGAUGGCUCCCAACGAGCCCUCACCCGGCGCUCCUGCCCCGGCGUUGUCCCCUCCGCUUAUCUGGGCCAGCCCUAUGAUCUGUUCUUGAGGAACGUGAUGGAAGUCGUGCCACAGCACUUCCAAGCCAAAGCCACAAGCAGCGUGUAAGAAACAAAGAGAAGUCAAACAACAUGGAAGCGGUCAGACUACAGCCUACCCUGAGAGUGCCACGCUGUGGGGGGGGCACGGGCUGGCCACCGGAAGUGGCCACGUGGAGACAGGGAGAGAUGUCCAGUGGCCCCCAGCUCUCACAGCCAUCCCAGCUGAGGCACCAGAUACAUGAGGGAAGAAGCCAUCUUGGAUGCCCAACCCAGCUGAGCCUUCAGACGACUCCAGCCCAGCCACAUGUGGCGGCAACUGCACAACAGACACCAAGAGAACUGCCCAGCUGAGCCCAGUCGAGCCACAAGACCACGAGCGGUAACAAAGAGCUGUGUUCUGGGCCAUUAAGGCUGUGGCAGUUGGUUAGGCAGCAAUAGAGAAUUGAAACAGUCGGUAAUUUAAUGCCUACACAGCCCUCCGUGGGAGACAUCAUCGUCCCCAUUCAACACAUGGGGAAAAAAGCCCAGAGAGGGAUGUGACCCGAGGAGGUUCACACGGCCAGCCAGAGGCAGCAGCGGGCUCGGAACUCAGGCGGGUCAGCCUGAUCCCCCAGCCUCGGCUCUUUCCAGAGCACACGCCUGGCUGCCCGAGGAGACCAGACCUUGCAGCCAAACCACAUGAUUUUGGCCAAAUUCUCUGUUUGAGAGGUUACUGGGGUUUUCCCCAGGUGGCUCACCUGGGCACCUGCUGGAACCCUGGCUCUUUUUUUUUUUUUAACUGAGACAUGGUUCACACACAAAUGCACAAAUCGUUAAGUGCACAGUGUGGUAAAUUUUUACAUGGUAUCCAGCCAUGUGACCACCACGCAGAUCAAGACAUGGAACAUUUCUGGCACUCCAGAAAGUUCCCUCGUGCCCACUGCUCGUCAAUGUGCCCCGCCCCACCCAGAGCCGAGAGGUACCCACUGUUCUGAUGCCUAUCGCCACAGGAACAGCUCUGCCUGCUCUUGGACCUCAUAUAAAUGGGAUCGUGCAGUGUGUGCUCUUUUGUGGCCGGCUGCUUUGGCUCAACAUUAUGUCCAGAAGAUUCAUCACGUCACCCUCUCCGGUCUUCACCAUCUUAGCCACAGCCCUGCGCGUCAGACAGCCCCGGCCGGGCCUGCAGCAGCUCAGAAAUGGGGCCUGUUCCCAGCCCCACGUGUGGCCAGUAUCAGCACAGCCAGCCAGCCGUGAUGAGGCCUCCCAGCCCGGUGGGCCUGGAGUGGCCAUGUCCACUGCCCCGACCCGACCCCCUGCCCAGGGCUGGACAGGACUUCUGGGUACAGCCUCAAUAUACGGCUGGGGCUGAAAGAUACCCAAAUUGACGGAGAAGCAGAUUAAGGCUCAGAGAGGGGACGUGGCUUGCCCACGGUCAGCCAGGGGUGAAGUCUCAGCGCUGGUCCUCUUUCUAAGGCCUGGGCCCAGUGCCCGCCCAGGACUUGUCAGACUCUGAGGUGCACGUGGAUCGCGGGGGCCGUGUUCAAGCGCAGCAGGCCGGCUGGGGCCCGGACCUGGUAUUUCCAACAACUCCCCAGCUCGUGGCUGCCGCUGGUCUGCAAACUCCACAUGGAGCUGCAAAGCCGUCGCCUGGCGGAGGAACUAGUCUCAACUCCACCCUCAGAAGCCCACAGGCCACCCCCGAGGAAGGGUGGAGCGCUGGCGGUGUGGCUGAUGAAGCCGCUUAAGAAACCCCGACCUCCACGGCCCGCCCUGCCCCAGCCAUCUAGGACACCAGAGCUGCCGGAACAUUUUAUUAAGUUAAGAAGGCUCAUGGAGCAGAGGAGAGACACCUUCACGGGGUGGCUCCAGCGCUUCCACGCCCAGCACCUCCAGAGGAGGAGGUACGGCCUGGGGACAGCUGCUGGCUCCCUCUGUCCAUCUGUCCCUCCGCCAGAGCCCCAGGGUGUGGGUCCCCCAGGGCAGGAAGUAGUUAGUGGGAGGUAGGGUGGCUGGCCCCCUGCCUCUCCCACAGAGUCCACCCUGCCAUGGCCGCUGCUGGGCCCCCACCAGACCCCGGGCAGGGCCACAGGCCCAGAAGCCCAGGCAGGUGGCUGUAGACAGAGCCCAGGCCAGUGUGGAGGCACACGGCCACCAGGUACUGCUUUUUAAAAGGUAUAAAGUGUUUUGGGGAAAAAA